rnacentral:rRNA from 1 species
AUUGAACGCUGGCGGCAUGCUUUACACAUGCAAGUCGAACGGUAACAGGCCGCAAGGUGCUGACGAGUGGCGAACGGGGGAGUAAUGCAUCGGAACGUGCCCAGUCGGGGGGGAUAACGCAGCGAAAGCUGCGCUAAUACCGCAUACGAUCUAGGGAUGAAAGCGGGGGACCGAAAGGCCUCGCGCGAUUGGAGCGGCCGAUGUCAGAUUAGGUAGUUGGUGGGGUAAAGGCUAACCAAGCCAACGAUCUGUAGUUGGUCUGAGAGGACAACCAGCCACACUGGGACUGAGACACGGCCCAGACUCCUACGGGAGGCAGCAGUGGGGAAUUUUGGACAAUGGGCGCAAGCCUGAUCCAGCAAUGCCGCGUGCAGGAAGAAGGCCUUCGGGUUGUAAACUGCUUUUGUACGGAACGAAAAGGCUCUGGUUAAUACCUGGGGCUCAUGACGGUACCGUAAGAAUAAGCACCGGCUAACUACGUGCCAGCAGCCGCAGUAAGAC